rnacentral:lncRNA from 1 species
CAGCUUUCAAAGUCCUGAGGAACUCAGGGCAGCGGAUACUAGAAAUGGAGAGUUCUCUGGUUCCCUCAGAUGGCAGUAAUACCACAGAAUGAGCCGCCUAACUGUGAUCUUUAAGGCUGUGGAGAAAAACCAGGAAUAUUGUCAUGACUCUGUCACAUGCCUGAAGCAGCUCUUCUUCGAAAAGGAGAUGGUUUGUGAUUCUGAUGAGAUGGCUCACAAGAAAAAUACACUUGAAAAGUAACAGCAAAGGAGUGAGGCCUGGGUCCAUGGACUGUAGACAAGGAAUAAGGUGCUCCUCAUCCAGGUAUGAAUCCUCUAGGAUCAUGUUUGAAAUUUUAUAUUCAUCCAUAAAUCAUGACCUUCUCACCCUGAGCCCGUGUUGGAACAUCCCAGGGACAGCUCACUCAGGAGCCACAGGGACGCAUCUUUCUCGAGGGAGCCUGUGACGACAGGUCAGGCAGCUGCCUGCAAAAAAAUACACAUGGAUGGAUAGGCUAUAUUUGUCAUUUUUUUAAAAAAAGACGUUUAAUUCCGACCUGCUCAUCCAAGAUGAAAACAUUUCCCAAUUUCUCUACCAGGAUGGUCUUAGUUCAUUAAAAUUGAUCAUUACCUUGUCAAAUUGGUGGCCACCCAGUGGAUUAAUAAAGCUUACUUCAG